GACGAACGCUGGCGGCGUGCUUAACACAUGCAAGUCGAGCGGUAAGGCCCCUUCGGGGGUACACGAGCGGCGAACGGGUGAGUAACACGUGAGCAAUCUGCCCUUCACUUUGGGAUAACCACCGGAAACGGUGGCUAAUACCGAAUACGACCACUUCGGGCAUCCGAUGGUGGUGGAAAGUUCCGGCGGUGAAGGAUGAGCUCGCGGCCUAUCAGCUUGUUGGUGGGGUAACGGCCCACCAAGGCAACGACGGGUAGCCGGCCUGAGAGGGUGACCGGCCACACUGGGACUGAGACACGGCCCAGACUCCUACGGGAGGCAGCAGUGGGGAAUAUUGGACAAUGGGCGAAAGCCUGAUCCAGCAACGCCGCGUGAGGGAUGACGGCCUUCGGGUUGUAAACCUCUUUCAGCAGGGACGAAGCGCAAGUGACGGUACCUGCAGAAGAAGCACCGGCCAACUACGUGCCAGCAGACGCCGUAAUAC
rnacentral:rRNA from 1 species